rnacentral:rRNA from 1 species
UACGGAGGGUGCAAGCGUUUAAUCGGAAUUACUGGGCGUAAAGCGUGCGUAGGCGGUUCGUUAAGUCUGUUGUGAAAGCCCCGGGCUCAACCUGGGAAUGGCAAUGGAUACUGGCGAGCUAGAGUGUGUCAGAGGAUGGUGGAAUUCCCGGUGUAGCGGUGAAAUUCGUAGAUAUCGGGUAGAACACCAGUGGCGAAGGCGGCUAUCUGGACGGAUACUGACGCUGAGACGCGAAAGCGUGGGGAGCAAACAGG